AUCCUGACAUACAGCUGCAGAGACAGACACUGUAUUGCCUCGGGGAGAACUCCAGCCCCAAAGGGAAGCUUUGAUGAAUGAUGAAGAGGAUGCGGUAUUACUCACUUUGAACUGAAAAAAAGUUUGUUAAAAUAUAAUGUUCUAUAAAAAGGUGGCAGAAACAGAUUCUUUCUCUUUUCUUGUUGAAAAUAGGUUUCUCCCUGCAGGAAGUCGGAGCUUCAGAGGAGUGCAAGGUCACGGUGUUUGUUAUCCCACCUGCCUGUCUGUCAAGUCGCUGAGGAUUGGCUUUGUUCCUCUACCAAAGGCCACAGCCCCUGCCAGGGAACCUCUUGUCCAGCCUGCCAUCUGGGUCUAUUCUUUCCUCCCUGUAUGUUUCCAGACCUAGGGCUGGCAGCAGCUCCCUUCUAUUGGUACCCUCGAGGUACUGUGCCUGCCAUGUCUUCUUGCUUCAUCUAAACCCUGCACAUUCCUUUGUAAAAAGUGGUUUUAAUUAAACUCACCUCAAAUUUUCCAGUGUAAGGCACUUGCCCCUUUGGAGUCAGCCACCAUGUUAUGAGGAAGUCUGGGACACAUGAAGAGGCCACAUGCACUUAUUCUGUCUAAAAGCCCUAGCUAAUUGCAAGGCUGACAGCCAGCAGCAACUAUCAUUUUUGUGAAUAAAUAAGUCUUCAGAUGAUUCCAAAUCCCAGCCUUUGAGUCACCCCA
rnacentral:lncRNA from 1 species